GUUCCGUAGGUGAACCUGCGGAAGGAUCAUUAUUGAAUAACCGAGGUGCGAGGCCUGUCGCUGACCCGAAAGGAGGUGCACGCCCGAGUGCCCUCACACACAUCCAUCUCACCCCUAUGUGCACCACCGCGGGGGUCCCCCUUCGCCUUGUUCGGAGGGGGUCUUACGAUUUUAUCCAAACUGGGUAUGUAGUGUAGAAUGUAUUUUUUGUUUUUGCGAGCACGCAAUCACAACCACCUUCAACAACGGAACGCUUGGCACUCUCGUCUGAGAAGAUCGUACUACGCGUUCCGGUGGUCAACCUGGCCAGGCACCAUGAUUGUCUGACCGGGAAGUAAAGGCCGUCACUAGCUCGCCGGUGCUUAACCGGCGGAGUGCUCUUUACAGCAUCGAACUCCUCCCAAUCCGCACCACCGCGUGCGUCUCGCUUUCGCUUGUGCGGGGGGGGGCUUACGUUGUCCGCCAAACUUAGUCAAAAGCGUAGAAUUUAUUUUUUGUUUAUGACUUAUUGCAAUAGUUAAAACUUUCAACAACGGAUCUCUUGGUUCUG
rnacentral:misc_RNA from 1 species